AUGGCUUCGACUGCGGGUGCAACUGCUGGUGGAGGGAAGGAAGCAGCGGAUCUGAGCUCUCUCUUGGAGAGGUUGCAUCUGGAAGAAGACGAACGAGACAAUUUAGUUUGGGAGGAUGAGGUUGAUGAGCCAGAUGAAAGACCUAAGUGGCUUGCGCUUGCUAGGGUUUUUACAGAGAAAUCAUAUGGUCAAGGAGCCCUGAUCGCGGACAUGAAGGCCGCUUGGAAUCCAGCGUGUGAUGUAAUUUGGCGGAGAAUUAACUCCAAUUUGUUUUCAGUGCAAUUUCAUUGCCGGGCAGAUUGGAACAAAGCUAUUCCUCAAGGACCAUGGGACUUCAAGGGCAUGGUGCUUGUGAUUGCAGAAUAUGACGGCUUAAAAAACCUGAGACGGUGA
rnacentral:rRNA from 1 species